rnacentral:rRNA from 1 species
CCGUAGGUGAACCUGCGGAAGGAUCAUUUAAUUCGAUCAUAACACCGCCAAUCAUGGUAACCUCUAGUGUCUACUUCCGGGGGGGUUUCUCCGUAUCCCCCCCGGGGUUGUUAACCACACAACCGCUAAAGCGUUUUAUCACGACCAAGCAAAGCCGGGCAAGGGACCCCGCCGUCCCGGACCCCGCAAACUAAACAACAAUAACCCCUAACAACGGAUGUCUUGGCUCUCGCAWCGAUGAAGAACGCAGCGAAAUGCGAUAACGUAGUGUGAAUUGCAGAAUUACGUGAAUCAUCGAAUCUUUGAACGCAUAUGGCACCCGAGACCUCGGUCGAGGGUAUGUCUGCCUCAGAGUCGGCGUAAAACAUCCCCUCGGAUCGCUUUCGCGCGAUACCUUGAGGGGGAGCUGGUCCUCCCAGCGUUAGUCUCCGAGUGAGAGCGCGCCGCUGGGUUGACCGAAGGGCAGAGACGGGUGGGCUGGUGGUCGAUACACCACUGGGUAUCACGAUUAGAUGGGAGGAGGGAGCGAUCCCGGCAUCCGCACAUCGUCGUGUGCCCCUUGAGGUGGACCAUGGGUACCCCCCGCCGAUCGCAGGAAAGAGAAGCAAGCAACAAAGCUUUUCGACCUGAGUUCAGGCAAGAUCACCCGCUGAACUUAAGCAUAUCAAUAAGCGGAGGAA